AGGACGAACGCUGGCGGCGUGCUUAACACAUGCAAGUCGAGCGGAAAGGCCCUUCGGGGUACUCGAGCGGCGAACGGGUGAGUAACACGUGAGCAACCUGCCCCUGGCUCUGGGAUAGCCUCCGGAAACGGGGAUUAAUACCGGACAUGACCUGCUGCCGCAUGGUGGCGGGUGGAAAGUUUUUCGGCCAGGGUGGGGCUCGCGGCCUAUCAGCUUGUUGGGGGGGUGACGGCCCACCAAGGCGACGACGGGUAGCCGGCCUGAGAGGGCGACCGGCCACACUGGGACUGAGACACGGCCCAGACUCCUACGGGAGGCAGCAGUGGGGAAUAUUGCGCAAUGGGCGGAAGCCUGACGCAGCGACGCCGCGUGCGGGAUGAAGGCCUUCGGGUUGUAAACCGCUUUCACCAGGGACGAAGCGAGAGUGACGGUACCGUGGGGAAGAAGCGCCGGCUAACUACGCGCCAGCAGCCGC
rnacentral:rRNA from 1 species